rnacentral:rRNA from 1 species
CUACGGGGCGCUGCAGUAGGGAAUAUUGGACAAUGGGCGAAAGCCUGAUCCAGCAACGCCGCGUGUGCGAUGACGGCCUUCGGGUUGUAAAGCACUUUUAGAGGAGAUGAGAAAGGACAGUAUCCUCAGAAUAAGCCUCGGCGAACUACGUGCCAGCAGCCGCGGUAAAACGUAGGAGGCAAGCGUUAUCCGGAUUUAUUGGGCGUAAAGCGCGUGCAGGCGGUCUAGCAAGUUGGAUGUGAAAGCUCCCGGCUUAACCGGGAGAGGUCGUUCAAUACUGUUAGACUAGAGAAUGGGAGAGGGAGGUGGAAUUCUGGGUGUAGUGGUGAAAUGCGUAGAUAUCCAGAGGAACACCAGUGGCGAAAGCGGCCUCCUGGACCAUUUCUGACGCUAAGACGCGAAAGCUAGGGUAGCAAACGGGAUUAGAUACCCUAGUAGUC